rnacentral:rRNA from 1 species
UACGUAGGCGGGAAAUUAAGUCAGUAGUGAAAUCCCACAGCUUAACUGUGGAACUGUUAUUGAUACUGGUUUUCUUGAAUAUAGUUGAGGUAGGCGGAAUGUGUAAUGUAGCGGUGAAAUGCUUAGAUAUUACACAGAACACCGAUUGCGAAGGCAGCUUACUAAACUAUUAUUGACGCUGAUGUACGAAAGCGUGGGGAGCGAACAGGAUUAGAUACCCUGGUAGUCC